AUACGUAGGGUGCAAGCGUUAAUCGGAAUUACUGGGCGUAAAGCGUGCGCAGGCGGUUUUGUAAGACAGUGGUGAAAUCCCCGGGCUCAACCUGGGAACUGCCCUUGUGACUGCAAGGCUGGAGUGCGGCAGAGGGGGAUGGAAUUCCGCGUGUAGCAGUGAAAAGCGUAGAUAUGCGGAGGAACACCGAUGGCGAAGGCAAUCCCCUGGGCCUGCACUGACGCUCAUGCACGAAAGCGUGGGGAGCAAACAGGAUUAGAUACCCUGGUAGUCCACGCCCUAAACGAUGUCAACUGGUUGUUGGGGAUUUAUUUUCUCAGUAACGAAGCUAACGCGUGAAGUUGACCGCCUGGGGAGUACGGCCGCAAGGUUAAAACUCAAAGGAAUUGACGGGG
rnacentral:rRNA from 1 species